UACGUAGGGGGCAAGCGUUGUCCGGAUUUAUUGGGCGUAAAGAGCGUGUAGGCGGCUUGGCAAGUCCGCUGUGAAAACUCGAGGCUCAACCUCGAGACGUCGGUGGAAACUGCCUCGCUAGAGUCCGGAAGAGGAGAGUGGAAUUCCUGGUGUAGCAGUGAAAUGCGUAGAGGUCAUGAGGAAGACCAGUGGCGAAGGCGGGUCUCUGGACAGUUCCUGACACUGAGGCACGAAGGCCAGGGGAGCAAACGGG
rnacentral:rRNA from 1 species